rnacentral:rRNA from 1 species
UACGUAGGGCGCAAGCGUUGUCCGGAAUUAUUGGGCGUAAAGAGCUCGUAGGCGGUUUGUCGCGUCUGCUGUUGAAAAGCCCGGGGCUCAACCCCGGGUCUGCAGUGGGUACGGGCAGACUAGAGUGCAGUAGGGGAGACUGGAAUUCCUGGUGUAGGCGGUGAAAUGCGCAGAUAUCAGGAGGAACACCGAUGGCGAAAGGCAGGUCUCUGGCUGAUUACUGACGCUGAGGAGCGAAAGCAUGGGGAGCGAACAGGAUUAGAUACCCGGUAGUCC